rnacentral:rRNA from 1 species
AACGAACGCUGGCGGCAUGCCUAACACAUGCAAGUCGAACGAUGCCUUCGGGCAUAGUGGCGCACGGGUGCGUAACGCGUGGGAAUCUGCCCUUUGCUUCGGAAUAACAGUUAGAAAUGACUGCUAAUACCGGAUGAUGUCUUCGGACCAAAGAUUUAUCGGCAAGGGAUGAGCCCGCGUAGGAUUAGGUAGUUGGUGGGUAAAGGCCUACCAAGCCGACGAUCCUUAGCUGGUCUGAGAGGAUGAUCAGCCACACUGGGACUGAGACACGGCCCAGACUCCUACGGGAGGCAGCAGUGGGGAAUAUUGGACAAUGGGGGCAACCCUGAUCCAGCAAUGCCGCGUGAGUGAUGAAGGCCUUAGGGUUGUAAAGCUCUUUUACCAG